GCAGACACCCCCACCGAGUCCUCUGGAAACCUAUCCGAGGAGAUGUACACCCUGACACUCAUCCCUGUCCCAGCUGCAAGCACCUAUUCACUCCCUUCACCAUCGGCUGCAUCCCAGCCAGGGAAGAGGAAGAAGGGUUUGCCCACAGAGCGCUCCUCCUCUCCAAGACUUGCUACCUCUGUAGC